UACCUAUCCCCUUUCCAUUUCGGACGGAAAGAAAUAACGAAAGCUGAGUGCCAAGGUCGAUGGAUAUUUAGGUACCUAUCCCUUUUCUAUUUCGGACGGAAAGAAAUAACGAAAGCUGAGUGCCAAGGUCUAUGGAUAUUUAGAUAUCUAUCCCCUUAUCAUUUCGGACGGAAUGAAAUAACGAAAGCUGAGUGCCAAGAUGAUGAAAUUGCACCCAAUAAUGAAGAUAAUGAAGAAGAAGGAGAAGAUAAAGACGAAGAAGAUGAAGAAGGUGAAGAUGGAGAGGAUAAAGAUGAACAAUGUUAAAUAGAAGCGACGUUGUCUGGACUAAAAGCAAAAGAUGGCACUCAGUGGGCUGCGACACCACCAAGUGAACAUCAAGCUGAGAGAUGUAAUAUUGUGCGAGAAAGAUGUGGACCUAAUAGAAACAGCAACUUGUUGUCUAAUCUAGACACAUUUAAAUUAUUUUUCACACCGGAAAUGGCUAAUAUCAUUAUAAGCCAUACUAAUAAAAAGGCAAUCUCAACGUAUACAGCAUGUAAUGAAAAAAAUCCAGAAAACAAAUAAUUAGAGUGGAAAAAUCUCGAGCUGCAGGAAUUUUAUGCAUUUUUGGCUAUUUUGAUAACUUCUGGCGUAAAUAAUUCAAAUACUGAUAAUGCAAGGGAAAUGUGGCAGCCGUAUUCAUAUCCAUUACAUCGCGCAGCAAUGAGUAUCAAUCGCUUCUGGAAUAUUAUUCGUUUUAUUCGAUUUGAGGAUGCCAAUACUAGAGCUCAGCGCUUAGAAACUGAAAAAGCUGCUCCAAUACGAGACAUUUGGACAUUGUUAAAUAGUAAUUUAGCAACACAUUAUAAACCAACAGAAUACCUAACAAUCGACGAGCAACUUUAUCCAUACCGAGGUCGAACUAGAUUCACUCAAUAUAUUCCAUCAAAGCCAGCGGAAAAUUCGUAUCCACUUACUGGACAGCUUUACACUGGGAAAUCGAAAGAUGGGCGUGAGAAAAUGUUGGUGAAAGAGUUGUUAAAGACUUGGUGGCACCAUAGAAAGGAUCCGGUAGAAACAUUACAAUGGAUAAUUUCUUCACAACUCUGCCACUAGCAAAAUUUUUAUACUCUCGCAACAAUGUUGCUAACGAGAGUAUUAUAGUUUUGUUCACAUAACGGUUGUUUGUAAGUCCUAAAACUAAAAGAGUCAGAUAUAGGGUUAUAUAUACCAAAGUGAUCAGGGUGACGAGUAGAGUCGAAAUCCGGAUGUCUGUCUGUCCGUCCGUCUGUCCGUCCGUCUGUCCGUCCGUCCGUCCAUCUGUCCGUCCGUCCGUGCAAGCUGUAACUUGAGUAAAAAUUGAGAUAUCAUGAUGAAACUUGGUACACGUAUUUCUUGGCUCUAUAAGAAGGUUAAGUUCGAAGAUGGGCAAAAUCGGCCCACCGCCACGCCCACAAAAUGGCGGAAACCGAAAACCUAUAAAGUAUCAUAACUAAGCCAUAAAUAGAGAUAUUAAAAAGGAAUUUGGCACAUAGGAUCGCAUUAGGGAGGGGCAUAUUUGGACGUAAUUUUUUGGAAAAGUGGGCGUGGCCCCGCCCCCUACUAAGUUUUUUGUAUAUAUCUCGGAAACUACUAUAGCUAUAUCAACCAAACUCUAUAGAGUCGUUUUCUUCAGGCAUUUCUAUAUACAGUUCAAAAAUGGAAGAAAUCGGAUAAUAAUCACGCCCACCUCCCAUACAAAGGUUAUGUUGAAAAUCACUAAAAGUCCGUUAACCGACUAAUAAAAAACGUCAGAAACAUUAAAUUUUACGGAAAAAAUGGCAGAAGAAAGCUGCACCCAGUCCUUUUUAAAAAUUGAAAAUGGGCGUGGCCUCGCCCACUUAUGGACCAAAAACCAUAUCUCAGGAACUACUAGACCGAUUUCAAUGAAAUUCGGUAUAUAAUAUUUUCUUAACACCCUGAUGACACGUACGAAAUAUGGGUGAAAUCGGUUCACAACCACGGCUUCUUCCAAAAUAACGCUAUUUCGAAUUCCAUCUGAUGCCUUCUCUGUAUACAUAAUAUAUACAUUAGAACCAAUGAUGAUAGCGGAAUAAAACUUUACAAAAAUACGGUAUUUGAAAAAUAUAUAAAUGACGUAUAAUGAAAUCUCGAUUAUCACUUUAUCAUGCGAGAGUAUAAAAUGUUCGGUGACACCCGAACUUGGCCCUUCCUUACUUGUUAUUAUCUUGGAACUUGACGAUUGUUGGUACUCUGAAGAAAAAUAAAGCAUACAUUCCACCAGCAAUGGCUGUUUCAAAAACUCGAGAAGAAUUA